rnacentral:rRNA from 1 species
AAGCACCGGCUAACUCCGUGCCAGCAGCCGCGGUAAUACGGAGGGUGCAAGCGUUAAUCGGAAUUACUGGGCGUAAAGCGCACGCAGGCGGUCUGUCAAGUCGGAUGUGAAAUCCCCGGGCUCAACCUGGGAACUGCAUUCGAAACUGGCAGGCUAGAGUCUUGUAGAGGGGGGUAGAAUUCCAGGUGUAGCGGUGAAAUGCGUAGAGAUCUGGAGGAAUACCGGUGGCGAAGGCGGCCCCCUGGACAAAGACUGACGCUCAGGUGCGAAAGCGUGGG